rnacentral:rRNA from 1 species
UACGGGGGGGGCAAGCGUUGUUCGGAAUUACUGGGCGUAAAGGGCUCGUAGGCGGCCAACUAAGUCGGAUGUGAAAUCCCCAGGCUUAACCUGGGAACUGCAUCCGAUACUGGAUGGCUUGAAUCCGGGAGAGGGAUGCAGAAUUCCACGUGUAGCAGUGAAAUGCGUAGAUAUGUGGAGGAACACCGAUGGCGAAGGCAGCCCCCUGGGCUAACACUGACGCUGAGGCGCGAAAGCUAGGGGAGCGAACAGG